UACGUAGGGGGCGAGCGUUGUCCGGAGUUACUGGGCGUAAAGCGCACGCAGGCGGUCUGCUAAGUUUGGAGUGACAGUUGGUGGCUUAACUGCCAAAGUGCUUCGAAAACUGACAGACUUGAGGGCUUCAGAGGGACACGGAAUUCCGGGUGGAGUGGUGAAAUGCGUAGAGAUCCGGAGGAACACCAAAGGCGAAAGCACUCUGCUGGGCCGACACUGACACUGAGAGACGAAAGCUAGGGGAGCAAAUGGG
rnacentral:rRNA from 1 species